rnacentral:rRNA from 1 species
CAGCAGCCGCGGGAAUACGAAGGGGGCUAGCGUUGCUCGGAAUCACUGGGCGUAAAGGGUGCGUAGGCGGGUUUUUAAGUCAGAGGUGAAAUCCUGGAGCUCAACUCCAGAACUGCCUUUGAUACUGAAAGUCUUGAGUUCGGGAGAGGUGAGUGGAACUGCGAGUGUAGAGGUGAAAUUCGUAGAUAUUCGCAAGAACACCAGUGGCGAAGGCGGCUCACUGGCCCGAUACUGACGCUGAGGCACGAAAGCGUGGGGAGCAAACAGGAUUAGAUACCCCCGUAGUCCCUGUCUCUUAUAU